GUGAACCUGCAUGGGCACUGCGGGUUAUGUGCUAACCCCGGGAGAAGUCACCUUCACUGAGACCAGGACCUCGGCAAUGAGAAGGGGUGCUGAGGCCUAGUCCCUCGAAUUCUCCUGUCCGUGGACAUUGGGAUUAUCGCCAGGAUUUUGCUCUUACGAAAAACGUUACUGUUGCCCAAGAUGUGUCCCUGGUGCUCAGAACAGGAAGGUCUCCCAAGUAUCUCAUGGAAGGCAUGAUUGUGCAUCUGAGGACAUGUGAUUGCUAACUUUUACAAGACACAGCCCCACUUGGUACAUCAUGGCGGAGCAGAAGCUCCAUGCAGUUGGAGGACCCUCCUGAUUCCCACUCUCACCACCGUAUCCCCAACACCCAGCCGAGUUUGGCACAAGGGAGAGAGAAAGAGACACAUGUAUCCGUCGCCUCCCAUCUGCACCCCAACCAGGGAUUGAACCUGCAUCCUAGGUAUGUGCCCUAACCAGGAAUCGAACUCCUGAUCUUCUGUGCUCAGGACAAUCAGCUGAGCCACCUAGCU